CUGGGGCAGCGCCCGCCGCUGGGCUCCCGCCCCCGCGGCCCCGACUGGGAAUGCAAUCCCCUAGAGCCCGCCUAGUGGACUUGCCCGCCCUUCCUUCCCGCCUUGGAACAGGCCUUUCCCCUCUGUUCGCCUUCUCCGCCCAUCCCUAAGCUGCGGAGACAACCCGGGGGUUGGAAAGCAAAGCCCAGGCUCUGGUUAAGUUUUUCUGGUCUUGGGAGCCAGGUGAAGACGACGAAAAAUGACCGGCGAGCGGUGUCCCGGGUGACUCAGGUUUGCCGAGAGGAGCGCGCUGGCAGCUGUGCCGGUAGGGAGCACAGGUUCAGGAUACAGUCAUUUUCCAAAAACUUGGGAGACUUGAUCGUCUUGGUUUUCAUCGGUGAAGGGAGCUCAGAGCGGUUAAGGCAACGAAAUGAGAGAAACCGGAACUCGACCCCCGCUGGGUGCACUGCCGAGUUCAAGCCCUUUACAACCCCAGAAUUUGCUCGGCAGCAAGUUUGCCGGGUCUCAGGCGCGCCCCCUACCCGGUUGCUGUUUCAUUCCUCCACGCAAAAUUCUGUUAUCGCCACCCAAUCAGAAUUAGUUUGGCCUUGCCCCGCCCUUUAUUCCCUGGGUAACCCUAGAGGCCUGGGCUCCUUUUAUCCUAUAACUGUCAGGUUUAUAAUUAAUCAGGCAAGGUCUUGCAAAAUGAAUUUCUCAUCAGUUUCUGCUCAUAAAGAGAGCAGCAGCUUUCUGGAGUCAGUAUUACGCCAGUACCCAGAAAUGUGACUUGCUAUUUAAUAAGUGGUCAUCAUUUAUUAAAUAUCCUCCUCGAUCUUCACAUAGGAUUGCAGCAGUUACUCGGUGCCAAAAAGCUGCACAAGUUAAGGUUAAAGAAUAGCCUGUAGUGUCCGAGACUCAAAGUGUAAAAGGUCACCAUCCCCCCCCAAAGAGAUACCCACGUGGUUGAUUAAUUCAUAAGGUUCAUUUCAUCGCCCUGCCGAUGGUAAGUAUUGAAGGUGUCGUGGUCUUGGCCAGCUCUAAUGAGUCAUCUCCAGAAUUUCACCUUGGAGACCAUUCCAAGAUGCUCAGUAACACACGGGGAUUUAUUGGGGGUGGGGGGAUUGUUGGGUAACAGUUUAGGGGUUUUGUUGGCUUUGUUUUGGCUUGGGGGUUGGUGAAAUGGAGUCUGUAUCAACUUGUGUAGCCCGGGUUGGUCUGGCACACUCAGUCUUUCAACCUUAGCCUCCCGAGUGCUGGAAUCCUGGGUGUGUGCCUUCACGCCUGGCUAACACAACUUAGGAAGCAUUUGGUGUUUAACUCUGUCGGGAAUGCCGCUGAAGCAUCACCAGUUCAGCUCCCUCGCGUCUCACAAUAAAUGUCCGAGUGGAAAUUUAUUCUUACUUGGCCAAGUAGAAAACUGAAGCUGAAAUUGUUUUAUGAGCUCGUUGUGUAGGCUAAUUGUGAUAGUUAAUCUGAUCACAUUAAGAAAUCACCUAGGAGGGCCUUUGGGAUAGUAGAGCAGGUAGAGGUGCUUGCUACCAAGCCUGGGGACCCGAGUUUGAUCUCUGAACCACGUGAUGGAAAGGAAGACCUGGCCACCCAGAUGGUCCGCUGGCACUAUAUAUGUGCUGUAGCAUGGACAUAUGCUCACACACAAUAAAUAAACAAGGAAAUAUAAUUUUUAAAGAUCACCUAAGAGACUGAAGGGUACCUCUGGGUGAGACUGCAAGGGUGGUUCUUGAGAGAAUUAAUUAAGUUGGUAAAGACUCACUCUAAAUAUGAGCGCUACCGUAACAUGAAUCAGGGACCUAGAGUAAAUAAAGGGGGUGAGCACUGGCUUCCUCUCUCCUUCCUGCCUGGGGUGAUGGGCAUCCGUGAGCUUCACUGUGUGGUUCCGCUCAAGUGCCAGCCAGGGGCAAAGCCAUCAUGGAUCAAACCAUGUGAAACACUGUGCCAGAAUAAGUCAUACUUUAUGUUGUUUCCAUCGGGUAUGUGGUCAGCUAUAUGAAAGUAACCAAUACACCUGCCCGAAAAUGUGGGUUCAAACCUAGUCGCUCACGCUGCUUCACCAAUGAACUGAUCAAUUAAAGGGUAGGUUUGAGCUAGGGAGAUAGCCCAGUGGAGCCACACUUACCUAGCAAUGCCUGAGGCCCUAGUCCCAUCCCCAUGACCACACACAUUCAUUUUAUUUUUACAAGAAAAUAGCAUCCCUCCCUGGGGACAGAUCAGGAAGAAUGCCUGUGGAUUUGGGGAGACAUAAAAAAAGAGAUUAUGGCCAGAAAACAGCACCUUCAAAUUUAUUAAUAAUUAAAAACUCAACAAAUUAUAUUCUGAACAAAUUUUUUCUAUAACAGUUCAGUUUCAACGUACAAUGUAAGACUGUGAAGGAAAGGAGAAACUUCAAGAUAAAGGAUUUCGACUACAGAAUGAAAGUAGCCGUGAGAAAUCAUGGCUGGUGCUGGAGCCAAUCCACACUUGGCCUUGGGCAGGGCUGUGCUCGGUACAGGGUGGAGGCUGGGGAACCCUCAUACUUCAUGAAGCAAAUGGGUACUUCCAUCUCAGGAUGGCUCCAUCUGCACUCACACUGACGAUGUACUGGUUUCCUGGACUUACCCGGAUGCCCAUGAUGUUGCCACUGUGUCCCACCCCGACGUGAGUCACUUCACCCUCAUUAUAAUCCCAAACUUUGACCAGAUGGUCAUGUCCACCUGAAAGACAAUUACAUGACAAUUAAUUGACAUAGAAUAGUGAAACAGCCCCGACCUCACAUAAGUGCUUCAUUUUCAACACAUUCCCCCAUAUGAUACAGCUUGAAGAAAGAAAAAUCCACUAUUAUAUAAAGCUUUUUCUUGACCUAAAAAAAAAAAGUCUUUGUAUGUUGUAAUAAAUUUAGAAUGCAAAGGAAAAUGCCACCAAGAACUAACCGCCACCACACCCUAACUGUUGAUCGAUCUUUCCACUCUUUUCUCCACAAAUGCAGAGGUGUACAAGCACACCUGUGUAUGUAUUAGCAUCCCACUGUGUCUGGUUUAAUAUCUUUUUCUAAGUCAGUGUGCUUAUGGAACUUUUUUUUAAUGCACUUAUUAAUGUCCUGAAGAAUCAAAGAGCCUGGCAGGAAAUUGUAUUAAUGCUGUUCUAGUGGCCAUGUCCUGUGGUAAAUGCCCCCAAAAAUAUUAACUAGUUCAUUCACAGGAAGGAAUUGAGGCAUCACAUUCUUCAAUAAUAACAAACAAACAAACAAAAAACUGGUGGCUCAUACGUAAGUAAAAAAAGACAGCAGAGGAGCUGGGAAUGGUGGCCUACCUCAUAUCCUAGCACUCAGGAGUCUGAGGCAGGAGGAUCACAAAUUCGAGGCCAGUGGGAGCUACAUACAGCACGAUCCUAUCAAAACAAAAACAAUAAAAACAACCAAAAACGUAGAGGAAAGCAACUCAAAGGCUCAAGAGAUUUGAAGACUCAUUUCUGCUCCAAAGAGCAGACCUCACAAUGUCAAGCUUGUCUUUUCUCUUUGCCCUGUCCAAAUGUCUUCCCUCAUUGAAGUGUGACUUUUCCAGCCAUGGUGGUGGGCUGUUGGGGCUGAAUGUUAACCAAGGUGUCCUUGAGAUGCUCUACUGGCUCUUCUCAUUGACUCUCACCUAAGACUUCCUUGUCCUCUGAAAUAAGGAACCCUGGGAGUUUUCUUACCUUAUUUGGGACUGGGACUAACCUGUCACAAAGUGUCCUCCUUCCUGAGUGAUGUCCAUACCAUUGAUCGACCCAGACAAGGAACCUUCCAGCUCUCUGAUUACUGACCCAUCAAAUACUUCCCAGUAGGCAAUCUGGAAUAGAGGAGAAGGGCAUCAGACAGAAGUCGGUGCAGUGGAACCAUCCACACACAUGCUCGCAAAAGAUGCUUCCACUUUAUAUAGAAGAAGCGUCAGCAAGAGUCAGAAGACAAGGGCUAAGAAUGGUACCCCCUUCUAGAGACAGAGCAUAAAACUAGAGAGACCACAAGUUCCAGGGAGAAGGAAGUAGAAGAUGCUGAAUUCAGAGCCAAACUACCACCUGUCUGGAGUCUCAAGGCCACCGUUGGAGCCAAGUGGCACCCCUUCCUCACUCCCCUCCCUCUAAGUGGGAACAUUCCGGCUGGGCAUGGUGACACAGGCCUUUACUCCACAGCUACUUGAGAGGCUGAUGUGGAAGGAUCUCUUGAGCCUGAGGAGUCAAGACCGGCGUGGACGUCACAAUGGUA